rnacentral:rRNA from 1 species
GAUGAACGCUGGCGGCGUGCCUAACACAUGCAAGUCGAGCGAACAGACGAGGAUCUUGCUUCUCUGAAGUUAGAGGCGGACGGGUGAGUAAUACGUGGAUACCCUGCAUUUAAGGAUGGGUUAAGUUAAGGAACCCUAAUCCCGUAUAGGAUAUUCUAGUGAACGGCAGGGUUCAUUAGUGAUAGACGGUUUUGCUGUGACUCGUAGGUGGUUCCCGGCUGGAUUGGGUAGUUGGUAAGGUAAAGGCUUACCAAGGCAACGAUGCGUAGCCGACCUGAGAGGGUGAUCGGCCACCCGGGAACUGAGACACGGUCCAGACUCCUACGGGACGCAGCAGUAGGGAAUCGUCGGCAAUGGGCGAAAGCAUGACGCAGCAACGCCGCGUGUGUGAUGAAGGUCUUCGGAUCGUAAAGCUCUGUUAUUUGGGAUGAACAGAUUUGUAAUUAACCAUGGCCGUCUUGACGGUACCUAAUCAAAAAGCAACGGCUAACUACGUG